GGGGCAUUAGCUCAGUUGGUUCAGAGCACCUGCUUUGCAAGCAGGGGGUCGUCGGUUCGAAUCCGACAUGCUCCA
rnacentral:tRNA from 1 species